GCAGGUUCACUCUGUGUCAGGUUUUGAUUUUCCAAACUGGCACUUUUUCAACCUGCUACAUUAAUUUUCUCAGCAACAAUUUUCGCAGUCUCUGUAAACACAGAUUCUGUCUGUUGUAUUUGGGAGCACAGUU